CGCCAGACUCCUACGGGAGGCAGCAGUGAGGAAUAUUGGUCAAUGGGCUUACGCCUGAACCAGCCAAGUCGCGUGAGGGAAGACUGCCCCAUGGGUCGUAAACCUCUUUUGUCAGGGAGCAAUGGCGUCCACGUGUGGGCGUAUGGAGAGUACCUGAAGAAAAAGCAUCGGCUAACUCCGUGCCAGCAGCCGCGGUAAUACGGAGGAUGCGAGCGUUAUCCGGAUUUAUUGGGUUUAAAGGGUGCGCAGGCGGAGGUGCAAGUCAGCGGUCAAAUUGCGGGGCUCAACCCCGUACUGCCGUUGAAACUGCAUCCCUUGAGUGCGCGAGAAGUAUGCGGAAUGCGUGGUGUAGCGGUGAAAUGCAUAGAUAUCACGCAGAACUCCGAUUGCGAAGGCAGCAUACCGGCGCCCAACUGACGCUGAAGCACGAAAGCGUGGGUAUCGAACAGGAUUAGAUACCCUAGUAA
rnacentral:rRNA from 1 species